ACAAGCAGCGGAGCGUGUGGUUUAAUCGAUGUUACACGAAGAACCUUACCAGGGUUUGACAUGCAAGUGGUAGGAAGCCGAAAGGUGACCGACCCUUCGGGGAGCUUGCACAGGUGCUGCAUGGCUGUCGUCAGCUCGUGUCGUGAGAUGUUCGGUUAAGUCCGCUAACGAGCGCAACCCUCGCUGUGUGUUAUAUGUGUCACACGGGACUGCCGGUCUUAAGCCGGAGGAAGGUGGGGAUGACGUCAAGUCCUCAUGGCCCUUAUAGGUGGGGCUACACACGUCAUACAAUGGCUGGUACAAAGGGUUGCCAACCCGCGAGGGGGAGCCAAUCCCAUAAAGCCAGUCGUAGUCCGGAUCGUAGUCUGCAACUCGACUACGUGAAGUCGGAAUCGCUAGUAAUCGUGGAUCAGAAUGUCACGGUGAAUACGUUCCCGGGUCUU
rnacentral:rRNA from 1 species